rnacentral:rRNA from 1 species
AACGAACGUUAGCGGCGCGCUUAACACAUGCAAGUCGAACGAGAAAGGGCUUCGGCCCCGGUAAAGUGGCGCACGGGUGAGUAACACGUGGGUAACCUUCCCUUGAGCGGGGGAGUAACAUUCCGAAAGGAGUGCUAAUACCGCAUAAGACCACGGCCUCGAAAGAGGACGCGGUUAAAGCAAGCCUCUUCAUGAAAGACUUGCACUCAAGGAUGGGCCCGCGGCCCAUCAGCUAGUUGGUAGGGGUAAUGGCCUACCAAGGCAACGACGGGUAGCUGGUCUGAGAGGAUGAUCAGCCACACUGGAACUGAGACACGGUCCAGACU